rnacentral:rRNA from 1 species
GCAGUCGAACGAUGAAGCCUUUCGGGGUGGAUUAGUGGCGAACGGGUGAGUAACACGUGGGCAAUCUGCCCUUCACUCUGGGACAAGCCCUGGAAACGGGGUCUAAUACCGGAUAAUACUUUCUCCUGCAUGGGGGAGGGUUGAAAGCUCCGGCGGUGAAGGAUGAGCCCGCGGCCUAUCAGCUUGUUGGUGGGGUGAUGGCCUACCAAGGCGACGACGGGUAGCCGGCCUGAGAGGGCGACCGGCCACACUGGGACUGAGACACGGCCCAGACUCCUACGGGAGGCAGCAGUGGGGAAUAUUGCACAAUGGGCGGAAGCCUGAUGCAGCGACGCCGCGUGAGGGAUGACGGCCUUCGGGUUGUAAACCUCUUUCAGCAGGGAAGAAGCGUGAGUGACGGUACCUGCAGAAGAAGCGCCGGCUAACUACGUGCCAGCAGCCGCGGUAAUACGUAGGGCGCAAGCGUUGUCCGGAAUUAUUGGGCGUAAAGAGCUCGUAGGCGGCUUGUCGCGUCGGAUGUGAAAGCCCGGGGCUUAACCCCGGGUCUGCAUUCGAUACGGGCAGGCUAGAGUGUGGUAGGG